UACGUCGGUUGCGAGCGUUAAUCGGAAUUACUGGGCGUAAAGCGUGCGCAGGCGGCGCGUUAAGUCAGGUGUGAAAGCCCCGAGCUUAACUUGGGAAUUGCGCUUGUGACUGGCGUGCUGGAGUGUGGCAGAGGGAGGUGGAAUUCCACGUGUAGCAGUGAAAUGCGUAGAGAUGUGGAGGAACACCGAUGGCGAAGGCAGCCUCCUGGGCCAGCACUGACGCUCAUGCACGAAAGCGUGGGGAGCAAACAGG
rnacentral:rRNA from 1 species